rnacentral:lncRNA from 1 species
AUGAAAAUCCAAAUCAAAGAGGGAGUGAGAGAGAGCGAGAGCGCCUUGAUCCGACUAGAAGGAUGGUUUGAUGAAGUGUGUCUGUGCCUGGUGUGGGAAGGAUCCCCCCCACCCCUGCCCACGCAGCCCGGGCAGAAGGAGCUACGCGGGGCAGUGUCUGUGCUCCUGCCCACACCCUCUGCUCAGAGCCAGGAUUCAAAAUGUUCCCACCCCAUGGCAGAGGGGCGCCCGUGGAACCCUCGGGAAGAAACCAGAGCCGGCUGGUGUCAGGUGGUUGGAAGGAACUGUGUUCUAUUGUUAUGCUGUCAGAUGUGGUGAUGGGAUUGGGAUUAUAUUUUUAAAUUCUUAGCUUUUAAUGUCUCCCAGAAUAUUGAGGGAUAAAAUGUGUCUGGGCAGUGCUGGCAAACACUUGAGCAAAAGGGAAAAAAAAGAGAGAGAGAGAUGAAAUAGAUAUGACAAAACGUUAGUAUUAUUUAAAUUUAGCUGAUGGGGAUAUGGGUUGCAUUUAGUGUUUUCUCAGACAGAUCUAGAGCUAUAUCCAUGUGUCUCUAUAUCGCUUCUCUAUGUAGCUAAUAUCUGUAUCCAUAUAGGUAUACAGAUGUCUAUCUGCUUAAUAUCUAUAGUUAUGUGAGAAAAAUUAAAUGGAAUUCUCAUAUACCUGCAUCUGUGCUAUAUCUCAUAUCUUUACAUAAGAAAAUGUUAAAUGGAGGGCAGCCCGGUGGCUCAGCGGUUUAGCGCAGCCUUCGGUCCAGGGCGUGAUCCUGGAGACCCGGGGUCGGGUCCCACGUCGGGCUCCCUGCAUGGAGCCUGCUUCUCUCUCUCUGUGUCUCUCAUGAGUAAAUAAAUAAAAUCUUUUAAAAAAAGAAAGAAAAAGAAAAUGUUAAAUGGAAUCUCCAUAGACUCAUCAGCUAGAUUUUAAAAGUAUUAACGUUUUGUUAAUAAAUAUCUAUAUCUGUCUAAAUAUGAUGAUUUUCCAUUUAAAAAGUGCCUACAUGGAAGUACACACUCAAAGGUGUUUUUUUCCCCUUUAUUUUUUUUCCUUUACAGAGCUGGGUGUAGGAAGGGGCAGAGAGAGAGAGAGAGAGAGAGAAAGAGAGAAUCUUAAGCAGGCUCCACACUGGGUGGAGCCUUGGGGCUCUAUCUCACGACCCUGAGAUCAUGACCUGAGCUGAAAUCCUGUCCGAUGCUUAACCACCUGAGCCACCCAGCCACCCACAAAGGUAUUUUUUUUUUUCACUUAACUCAUUACUUCUAGAGAAUUUUGCUCUUUGUUGUGGUGGUGGUGGUUCUUUUAAAGAUUUUAUUUUUAGCCCAGGUGGCUCAGUGGUUUAGCGCCGCCUUCAGCCCAGGGCCUGAUCCUGGAGACCUGGGAUCGAGUCCCACGUCGGGCUCCCAGCAUGGUGUCUCUGCCUCUCUCUCUCUCUCUCUCUCUCUCUCUCUCUGUCUCUCAAGAAUAAAUAAAAAAAUAAAAUAAAAAAUAAAGGUUUUAUUUUUUAAGUAAUCUCUACCUCCCCCAUGGGGCUCGAACUCAAAACCCCAAGAUCAAGAGUCACACGUUCUACCAACUGAGCCAGCCAGGCUCUUUGAACACAAACCACAGGAUGCCACGAUCUUAUCACUUUGGAAAUGAAAUAGAAUAAUGAGAUUUAGAAGCCCUAUAGAUUAUUAAAACGAACACAAACCCCC